UACGGAGGGUGCAAGCGUUAUCCGGAUUUACUGGGGUUUAAAGGGUGCGCAGGCGGAUAUGUAAGUCAGUGGUGAAAUCUCCAGGCUUAACCUGGAAAUUGCCGUUGAUACUAUAUAUCUUGAAUGCUGUGGAGGUAAGCGGAAUAUGUCAUGUAGCGGUGAAAUGCUUAGAGAUGACAUAGAACACCUAUUGCGAAAGGCAGCUUCUACGCAGAUAUUGACGCU
rnacentral:rRNA from 1 species